rnacentral:rRNA from 1 species
GACGAACGCUGGCGGCGUGCUUAACACAUGCAAGUCGAACGGAAAGGCCUCUUUCUGGGGGUACUCGAGUGGCGAACGGGUGAGUAACACGUGAGUAACCUGCCCUUGACUUUGGGAUACUUCAGGAAACUGGGGCUAAUACCGGAUAGGAGCUCCUGCUGCAUGGUGGGGGUUGGAAAGUUUCGGCGGGUGGGGAUGGACUCGCGGCUUAUCAGCUUGUUGGUGGGGUAGUGGCUUACCAAGGCUUUGACGGGUAGCCGGCCUGAGAGGGUGACCGGCCACAUUGGGACUGAGAUACGGCCCAGACUCCUACGGGAGGCAGCAGUGGGGAAUAUUGCACAAUGGGUGGAAGCCUGAUGCAGCAACGCCGUGGGCGGGAUGACGGCCUUCGGGUUGUAAACCGCUUUCGCUCAUGACGAAGCUUUGUGUGACGGUAGUGGGUAAAGAAGCACCGGCUAACUACGUG